UACGUAGGGUCCGAGCGUUGUCCGGAAUUACUGGGCGUAAAGAGCUCGUAGGUGGUUUGUCGCGUUGUUCGUGAAAACUCACAGCUCAACUGUGGGCGUGCGGGCGAUACGGGCAGACUUGAGUACUGCAGGGGAGACUGGAAUUCCUGGUGUAGCGGUGGAAUGCGCAGAUAUCAGGAAGAACACCCGUGGCGAAGGCGGCUCUCUGGGACGGUACUGACGCUGAGACGCGAAAGCGUGGGGAGCGAACAGG
rnacentral:rRNA from 1 species